GAGAGUGUAGCUUAAUCGAAUAAAGCAUCUGCCUUCUAAGCAGAAUGAUGUAGGUUUGAGUCCUACCACUUUCG
rnacentral:tRNA from 1 species